GGUUCGAGGCCUCUGGCUUCUGCUGGGCCCUCAAUGGGACUCCUCUUGGACUUCCUGCUUCCUUCCUCACCACUCCAUGUGCAUCCCUCCCAAAGCUGUGCAGGAUCAAAGAGGUCGACCUUCCCCAAUUAGAGGAGGACUGGUCUUUGGUCAAGACUGUGCUCCCCUGCUAGAACCCAGAAACAAGCUCUCAAGUAUAGACAUUUAAAAGGACACCACACUUAGGAGGCAUCUAAGGACAGACAUGUAAUGACAACAAAAAAAAAAUUAAUGGCUGACAGAUUUU
rnacentral:snRNA from 1 species